UACGUAGGGCGCAAGCGUUGUCCGGAAUUAUUGGGCGUAAAGAGCUCGUAGGUGGCUUGUUGCGUCUGCCGUGAAAGCCCGUGGCUUAACUACGGGUCUGCGGUGGAUACUGGCAGGCUAGAGGCUGGUAGGGGCAAGCGGAAUUCCUGGUGUAGCGGUGAAAUGCGCAGAUAUCAGGAGGAACACCGGUGGCGAAGGCGGCUUGCUGGGCCAGUUCUGACGCUGAGGAGCGAAAGCGUGGGGAGCGAACAGG
rnacentral:rRNA from 1 species